AGUGAACGCUGGCGGUAGGCCUAGCACAUGCAAGUCGAACGGCAGCACAGUAAGAGCUUGCUCUUACGGGUGGCGAGUGGCGGACGGGUGAGGAAUACAUCGGAAUCUACUUUUUCGUGGGGGAUAACGUAGGGAAACUUACGCUAAUACCGCAUACGACCUACGGGUGAAAGCAGGGGAUCUUCGGACCUUGCGCGAUUGAAUGAGCCGAUGUCGGAUUAGCUAGUUGGCGGGGUAAAGGCCCACCAAGGCGACGAUCCGUAGCUGGUCUGAGAGGAUGGUCAGCCACACUGUAACUGAGACACGGUCCAGACUCCUACGGGAGGCCGCAGUCGGGAAUAUUGGACAAGGGGCGCAAGCCUGAUCCAGCCAUACCGGGUGGGUGAAGAAGGCCUUCGGGUUGUAAAGCCCUUUUGUUGGGAAAGAAAAGCAGCAGGUUAAUACCCCGCUGUUCUGACGGUACCCAAAGAAUAAGCACCGGCUAACUUCGUG
rnacentral:rRNA from 1 species